rnacentral:rRNA from 1 species
UACGGAGGGGGCUAGCGUUGUUCGGAAUUACUGGGCGUAAAGCGCGCGUAGGCGGCUUAGCAAGUUAGAGGUGAAAGCCCGAAGCUCAACUUCGGAAUUGCCUUUAAAACUGCAAAGCUAGAAUCAUGGAGAGGUGAGUGGAAUUCCGAGUGUAGAGGUGAAAUUCGUAGAUAUUCGCAAGAACACCAGUGGCGAAGGCGGCUCACUGGCCCGAUACUGACGCUGAGGCACGAAAGCGUGGGGAGCAAACAGG